GGCGUGCGGGCGAUCCAGUGGAGACGCAGUGGGGCCUGUAGCUCAGAGGAUUAGAGCACGUGGCUACGAACCACGGUGUCGGGGGUUCGAAUCCCUCCUCGCCCAC
rnacentral:tRNA from 1 species